rnacentral:rRNA from 1 species
CAGCCGCCGCGGGAAUACGAAGGGUGCAAGCGUUAAUCGGAAUUACUGGGCGUAAAGCGUGCGUAGGCGGUGAGUUAAGUCUGCUGUGAAAGCCCUGGGCUCAACCUGGGAAUUGCAGUGGAUACUGGGUCACUAGAGUGUGGUAGAGGAUAGUGGAAUUUCCGGUGUAGCAGUGAAAUGCGUAGAGAUCGGAAGGAACAUCUGUGGCGAAGGCGACUAUCUGGGCCAACACUGACACUGAGGCACGAAAGCGUGGGGAGCAAACAGGAUUAGAUACCCCCGUAGUCCCUGUCUCUUAUAC